GACAGAGGGUGCAAACGUUGUUCGGAAUUACUGGGCGUAAAGCGCGUGUAGGCGGCUUUGCAAGUCGGGUGUGAAAUCCCACGGCUCAACCGUGGAAGUGCAUUCGAAACUGCGAGGCUAGAGUCCUGGAGAGGAAGGUGGAAUGCUUGGUGUAGAGGUGAAAUUCGUAGAUAUCAAGCGGAACACCGGUGGCGAAGGCGGCCUUCUGGACAGUGACUGACGCUGAGGAGCGAAAGCGUGGGGAGCGAACAGG
rnacentral:rRNA from 1 species